UNNUGGCNGGCAGGCCUAACACAUGCAAGUCGAGCGGUAGAGAGAAGCUUGCUUCUCUUGAGAGCGGCGGACGGGUGAGUAAUGCCUAGGAAUCUGCCUAGUGGUGGGGGAUAACGUUCGGAAACGGACGCUAAUACCGCAUACGUCCUACGGGAGAAAGCGGGGGACCUUCGGGCCUCGCGCCAUUAGAUGAGCCUAGGUCGGAUUAGCUAGUUGGUGAGGUAAAGGCUCACCAAGGCGACGAUCCGUAACUGGUCUGAGAGGAUGAUCAGUCACACUGGAACUGAGACACGGUCCAGACUCCUACGGGAGGCAGCAGUGGGGAAUAUUGGACAAUGGGCGAAAGCCUGAUCCAGCCAUGCCGCGUGUGUGAAGAAGGUCUUCGGAUUGUAAAGCACUUUAAGUUGGGAGGAAGGGUAGUAACUUAAUACGUUGCUACUUUGACGUUACCGACAGAAUAAGCACCGGCUAACUUCGUGCCAGCAGCCGCGGUAAUACGAAGGGUGCAAGCGUUAAUCGGAAUUACUGGGCGUAAAGCGCGCGUAGGUGGUUCAGUAAGUUGGAUGUGAAAUCCCCGGGCUCAACCUGGGAACUGCCUCCAAAACUGCUGAACUAUAGUACGGUAUAGGGUGGUGGAAUUUCNUGUUUAGAGGUGAAAUGCGUAAAUAAAGAAUGAACACCCU
rnacentral:rRNA from 1 species